CAUUGCCAAGGUUGGGUUGUAAUGGAAGUGCAGAAAGAACAAAGGACAGGCACCAGAAUGUUCUUUUAUUGCUUGCAUGACAAAGAGGAAAGAAAAAGAGAGGAAUGGGAUAGACCAGUGGUUCUCCAAGUGUGGUAGCUGAACCAGGUUCAUCCACGACACUAGGGAACUUAAUAGGACUGUAGAAUCUGAGGUCCCACCCCAGACCUACUAAAUCAGCAACUCUGAGGACCAGGGUCCGUCCAGCUUGUGGUUUAACAAGCCAGCCAGGUGAUUCCAAUAUCAGCUAAACUCUGCGAUCCACAGGUACAGACAUUUUACCUCUUUAAUCUUAAUUUAAAAAACCUCAUCUUCUCUGCCCGAGCCCAACGCUUCUGCCCGGGACAUGGAGGACCUAGACGUGCAGGACUGGGCUGUCAGCACCAGGGUGAUCCUGCCAUCCUGCAGUGAUGGAGAUUUUGCUCUCAUUGAGUCUGUCUGGAUUAUUUCUGGUUCAUGGACAAUCUGGUUUAUUCCUGUCUUCAUAUCAUCUGGACCUCUUUCCUGGUGGGGAUCAUUCUGCAAGCAUAAAACAUUUAGAGAAUUUUACCUUGGAAGAAAUGGAGAAAGAACUCUUUCAACCAUCUAAGAAGUGUGCACGUGUGAGUUACUAAAUCUACCAAUGCAAAUAAACUGACAUUUUCUUGGAAUGACAUCAGAG
rnacentral:lncRNA from 10 species